UGCGCAGCUAUGUGUGUCCUUGAUUCA
rnacentral:piRNA from 1 species